rnacentral:rRNA from 1 species
UACGUAGGUGGCAAGCGUUGUCCGGAUUUACUGGGCGUAAAGAGCGCGCAGGCGGUCGUUCAAGUCGCGUGUGAAAGCCCCCGGCUCAACUGGGGAGGGUCACGCGAUACUGAUCGACUCGAAGGCAGGAGAGGGUAGUGGAAUUCCCGGUGUAGUGGUGAAAUGCGUAGAUAUCGGGAGGAACACCAGUGGCGAAGGCGGGUCUCUGGGCAAUAACUGACGCUGAGGAGCGAAAGCGUGGGG